rnacentral:rRNA from 1 species
UACGUAGGGUGCGAGCGUUGCCCGGAUUUAUUGGGCGUAAAGAGCGCGCAGGCGGUCGUUCAAGUCGAGUGUGAAAGCCCCCGGCUCAACUGGGGAGGGUCAUUCGAUACUGAUCGACUUGAAGGCAGGAGAGGGAAGUGGAAUUCCCGGUGUAGUGGUGAAAUGCGUAGAUAUCGGGAGGAACACCAGUGGCGAAGGCGACUUCCUGGCCUGUUCUUGACGCUGAGGCGCGAAAGCUAGGGGAGCAAACGGGG